CUACGGGGGGCAGCAGUGGGGAAUAUUGCACAAUGGGCGCAAGCCUGAUGCAGCAACGCCGCGUGGGGGACGAUGGCCUUCGGGUUGUAAACCUCUUUUAGUAGGGAAGAAGCGCAAGUGACGGUACCUACAGAAAAAGCACCGGCUAACUACGUGCCAGCAGCCGCGGUAAUACGUAGGGUGCAAGCGUUGUCCGGAAUUAUUGGGCGUAAAGAGCUCGUAGGCGGUUUGUCGCGUCUGCUGUGAAAAUCCGAGGCUCAACCUCGGACCUGCAGUGGGUACGGGCAAACUAGAGUGCGGUAGGGGAGAUUGGAAUUCCUGGUGUAGCGGUGGAAUGCGCAGAUAUCAGGAGGAACACCAAUGGCGAAGGCAGAUCUCUGGGCCGUAACUGACGCUGAGGAGCGAAAGCGUGGGGAGCGAACAGGAUUAGAUACCCCAGUAGUC
rnacentral:rRNA from 1 species